UACGAAGGGUGCAAACGUUGCUCGGAAUUAUUGGGCGUAAAGCGCACGUAGGCGGCUUAGCAAGUCGGAAGUGAAAGCCUCGGCUCAACCAAGGAAGUGCUUUCGAAACUGCUGAGCUUGAGUACUUAAGAGGAUCGCGGAAUUCCCGGUGUAGAGGUGAAAUUCGUAGAUAGUCGGGAGGAACACCAGUGGCGAAGGCGGCGAUCUG
rnacentral:rRNA from 1 species